rnacentral:rRNA from 1 species
UCUAAUACCGGAUAUUGACCAUCUUGGGCAUCUUUGAUGGUGGAAAGCUCCGGCGGUGCAGGAUGAGCCCGCGGCCUAUCAGCUAGUUGGUGAGGUAAUGGCUCACCAAGGCGACGACGGG